rnacentral:lncRNA from 1 species
UGAUAAAAUAUUAUUUUUUAAAAAAUAAAAUAUUAAUUAUAAAAUAUUAAUUUUAAAAGAUAAUUUGAAAAAAUACGUGAAAGGAAGAAAGGAGAAAGAUUUUUAAAUUUUAUUUUUAAAAUUGCCUAAGCAAAAGAGUUCAGGAGGGAAGGAAAAAAAGAAUUUUUUUUUAAAUAUUAUUUUAAAAAUAAAUAUUAUUUUUAACAUAAAAUAUUAUUUUUAAAAAUAAUUUUGAAAAAAAUUAUUUUUAAGAUGAAUUAUUUUUUAAAAAUUAUUUUUUAAAAUUAAUAAUUUAUUAUUGUUUUAAAAAUCCAUUUUGAAAUAAAAGAAAAGGAAGAA